rnacentral:rRNA from 1 species
GACAGAGGCCUCAAGCGUUAGGCGGAAUCACUGGGCUUAAAGCGUGUGUGGGCGGAUCGUUAAGUGUCUUGUGAAAUCCCACGGCUCACCCGUGGAACUGCUGGGCAUACUGGCGAUCUUGGGCCAACUAGGGGCAACUGGAACAAGCGGUGGAGCGGUGAAAUGCGUAGAUAUCGCUUGGAACGCCGAAGGUGAAAACAGGUUGCUGGGGUUGUGCCGACGCUGAGACACGAAAGCCAGGGGAGCAAACGGG